GGGAGGCAGCUGCGUAGUGUUCUGCUUUCCCGGGCUCGGAGCCACUGUAAUGUCGCUGAACUUGACAUCCAGCAUCACAAGGGGACGCGGUCACCUCGCAGCGUGACGACUUUUAAGUACAGCUGUAGCGGUACCAGUGUGAGCGUUUGCGACUGCACCAACAGGACAAAUGACGCAAAGAGGACAGAGCGAGUGAGAGAGAGCAUGCCAAAUUGCACAAAUUGGAAAAGGACAAGGCCGCACGUUGAUAAGACUGCGACAGUGGCCAAGAAGACUGAGGUAGACAUACAGGACAAGAGUCUGCUGGAAAUAGGAUGAGAUGCUUGUCUGCAGACAGACAGACUAAGAGGUGUGCCAAAAAUUCAGGCUGCUGGCCACGACUGUCAGCCUCCCGCUAGGAGGAUGGACUGCAGUUCAACAACGUCAUAUUCUCAAACAUCCUUAACCUUCAUCCAACCUCUUUGGCUCAGACUCUAAACUCAAGUCAUUGGCUCAACCCCAAGAAAAAGACUUAUUGGCACUCAUCCCCCACACCACGCUCUUUAACAAUGACUUUGUAACUGCUUGACAGAGCGGUAGCGCCAGCCCACAAAGGCAAUUGAAGCAUCAUAGCACUGUAGUUCAGCUUGCAGCACGAGAAGAAUUGUGAGUGUGAUUUGUCUCCAGGCGCAUGGGCAGCUGUUGACAAAAGAUGACAGCGAGUCUGGUUGGAGGUGCACCAUCCUCUCGUCCGCCCUCCCUUGCUGCAGCGGCAUUGGGUCUGACUGGUUAAGUUUGGCCUUUUGGCCAUUGCAGCAUUGGCGGCAGCUGUCAGAGGGCUGGAAGGAGCACUAUGCAGGAAACUGACUCACCAGACACAAACGCAUUCAAAGAGUGCAAGUUCCACUGCACCAAUGGGAAUUGUUUGCGUCUGGGCUCACUGAUCUGUAACCACCUCAAUAACUGUGGCGACAACAGCGAUGAGGAGAACUGCCCCAUGGUCACCCAGCAUCCUCCAGCGGGCAUCUUCAACUGUGAGUGCUGCAGGACGCUGCCUUCACUUCAUUUCCUCUCUUUCACAUGAACUCCUCACACAUCUACCACUCCCUGGAGAAUGUUUAGUGUCGUUUUAAUGAGUUUUAUAUUGUGAAUCUUUUUGCCUUCUUCUGAAAUGGUGGGGCUUCUCCAUUAAUUGUUUGAGAGCAAUGGUUAAACAACAGUGUUUGGGCAUUACAGAAAGAUAUUUUAAAAAUGCAUAUACUGCAUAUAGUUUUAGUUAUGUUUUACAGAAAUAUUUGCAAAUGUUGAUUUACGAAUUGGUGAGGGUUGACUGUACACCCCUUUAGGGUUGGGCGAACAUGGAAAAAAUAAUGACCAUGAUGCAUAUUUUGAUUCAUGUUGAAAUCACAAUGAAUAAACCAUUAUUCAUUGACUUCGAAACUUGAUACAGUGGAACCUCGAUAAAACGGACCACUGGGACUGAAAAAUGUGUCUAAAACUUUUUUUCCAUUUGUCACUUCAACUGCCAUUGACAUAGUCUGUUAGUUCCAGAAUUGGCUGCCGUUAUUUACUGGCGCCACAUAGGCAGAGAAUGGGACUGAGGUGUUUCCAGGUCACAGAUAUACAAUAUGACUAGAUCCAAUUCCAAAUGACGUGCCAUGUUGAAUGUCAGGCAUUGACGUGGCAGCCAUGCGACGAUGGUUAUAUCAAUUGUCUAUUGUACAUAGGGCAGCGAGAGAGCGGAAUGGCAGCAGUGUUAACUCUGAGGAAUACAAACACAAAUCUCUGGAGUCUGCAACAUCCUAUUUUUGGUACAGUAACAGCUUUAUUUGUCAAGCUGUUCGCCUUUGCCAAUGGAUUUGGAACUAAGAAGCACACUAAUUCCUCACGGCUCAUGAAAGCGACUCGUCUAUGAUGAGUCCUGUAUGUCAACAAUGUCACCAUGAUCUAGCACACCGGCAUGGUAAGUUUGGAUAAAAUGUGAAACCUUAAAUAUUUUUAACCUUUUGUUUUUUAUUUAUUUACAAUAACUUUGUACAGUACUGGGCGUUUUAGGCUACGAAAAAAAUCUAUAAACCACUAAUUUUUGUACUGUACAGUAAUACAGAUGCAUGUGGCCAAAAAGUGCUUAAAUGUAGCGCACAAUCAGAAAUAUCUGACGACCUCCCGCCCCUGUUAGGCCAUUCUAUCGAGGUUCCACUGUAUUUCUUUAACUUGGAAUCAAUACGCAACUUUAAGUAUAACUUAAAAGAACAACCAGAUAAUACAUUAGUAACAAGUAAAAAUAAUAAUACAUUAAAAAUAGAAAUAAAAAAACAAUAAAUACAAAUAAGGCAGCAUGGUGAAAGACUGGUUAGCACACCUGCCUCACAGUUCUGAGGACCGGGGUUCAAAUCCCGGCCCUGCAUCUGUGGAGUUUGCAUGUUUUCAGCGUGCCUGCGUGGGUUUUCCCCGGGCACUACGGUUUCCUCCCACAUCCCCAAAACAUGCAUGGUAGGUUAAUUGAAGACUCUAUAUUGUCCCUAGGUGUGAAUGUGAGUGGCAAUGGUUGUUUGCUUCUAUGUGCCCUGUGAUUGGCUGGCAACCGGUUCAGGGUGUACCCCGCCUCCUGCCCGAAAUGAGCUGGGAUAGGCUCCAGCACUCCCACAACCCGCUUGAGGAUAAGCGGUUCAGAAAAUGGAUGGAUGGAAAUAAAAAUAAAUACAGCAUGGUGAAAAACACUGGAAUGCCGGGGGUAACAGUAUUGUCUAUUAUGUAUAUUUGUUAAGAAAAAAAUCCUCUCAAUAUUCUGGCGUUUAGCAAAUAGAAAUAAUGUUUAUAAUCCUAAUUGACCUAAAACAAGAAAAUGUUAGUUUGAUUUCAUGUCAGACAUUCAGGGGGGGAAAAAAGCGUUUGUGUCUUUUUGUACAAAGCCAUGACUGUGUGGUGUGGUGCAUGCAUGAAGUUGCAUAUUUACAGUAAGCUGAAAAAAGAGGUGAAGAAGAAAGCCGCAAGAAAGGGCACGUUCGUCAAUUCAAUCUAACGCUCACACUGCGCUCUGAGAGUGCAGUGUUCAGAGAGGCAGAGCACACUCCAUUUUCUAUGAAUUUGCGAACAUGUUGGCCAUUGGAAGGGAUACAUCAGUGUGUCGCCAUAUUGAAUGUGUCAGUUCUACCUGUAAACAUCUCCUUGCCGGACGCUCCGGCCGCUCUGACUGAGGAGACAGAGUACGCGCCAUCACUCCCGGACUGUGGCGCUCUGAAUAACCAAAUGGCACACUCCACCAACGAGUCAAGAGAGUGCGCUUGGAGUGAAUUUUCCAACAUACCCAAAAUUUUAUUAAACUCGUUUUUCACAGAUUAGAAAGAAUAUAUGCCUGUGAGUAUUGUUAUAUUCUGCCUGUAUGUGUUAUACGGCGUUUGUGUGUGAAUAUUCGUUAUCUGAAGGUAAAUCCUUCCCGCGAUAUAAUAUUAAUGUUUGCUCGCCUGCCAGUAGGGUUUUCGACAGACUGUUAGCAUAAGCUGACAAUUUCUAAAAUGAUGUGUGUCUUGCAUUUAAAUAUACA